GUUAGUUUUCAAGGAUUGAGGUUCCGUGUAGGAAACAGUUUUCAAAAACUGUAAUACCUAAUAAUUUGAAAUUGAAGUUUGAUAUAUAUAUAUGAGUCGGUCUGGUAUGCUUCUGGAAGCACGGAGCGCUCCGUGCUUCCAAGUUGUUUUCGAUGUUCAGACUUUCGAAUCGACGAUCGGCUCUGUUAGACUUGAUCUAGAGUAUUUGAAGUAUCUAGAAAAUAAAUUUUGCGAUUUUUCGAUAUCAUUUGCCAAGUGAUCGAAGUGGCUCAAAAUCAACAGCGAAAAUAAAAAUCUUACAAAAUAUGAUGAUAUGACAUUAAAAUUUUAAAUCAAAGUUAUUGAUCUUGUUUUAUAUGGUAUAAAGAAUUUUCUAUCAAAAUUUCAUAUAAUUUGGAUAUAUCUACACCGUUAAACUUGCAAACGGCUCACCAUGGCCAUUAAAAUUAUUGAUUUUGAGCCCCUUCGGCCCUUCGAUCACUAGGCAAAUGAUAUCGAAAAAUCGCAAAAUUUAUUUUCUACGUACUUCAAAUACUCUAGAUCAACUCUAACGGAGCCGAUCGUCGAUUCAAAAGUCCGAACAUCGAAAACGACUUGGAAGCACGGAGGCCUCCGUGCUUCCAUAAGCAUACCAGCACAACUAUAUAUAUAUAUAUAUAUAUAUAGAGUGGAGCUAGAAUACUUGUACAAGUACCAUGGGGGUGGUGCUUUAGUGUUUUUAGCCCUUAGAUGGAGAGAUGUGAGGUUGAGAUGAUGGUGGUAGGUGGUGGUAGGUGGAAUAGUGUUUGAUCCAAGGACUAUUAGUAAUCAAGAAGUAGAUCUAAUGGCUAAAAACCUAAUAGCACCAUGGGGGUGAUACUUGUAAAAGUAUCAUAACUCAACUCUAUAUAUAUAUAUAUAUAUAUAUAUAUUCUGGUUGCUAUACUAUUGAUGGUACCAAACGCUCGGUGCUAUCGACUUUUCUGCUGUUGGAUCUACCCCUUUGACCAUUUUCACUGCUAGAUCAUACUAUUUAACCAACUAUCCACUCAAUCCUAGAAAACCACUAUCAUCCUAACCGCACUGUAAAUUCGAUAGCACUAAGCGCUUGAUAUUAUUGAUAGUAUAGUAACAUAAUUCAUAUUUGUGUACAUAUAGAGUUGAGUUGAAAUACUAUUAAUAGUUUCAUAUGUGUAUAUAGAGUUGGGCUCUUUUGCUAUUAAUUUUUUAGCCGUUAGAUCUACACUUUGAUCAAUUUCACCUUUUAAUUAGAUCAUACUAUAUUCAACCAACUAUCCACUCAACCCUAGCAGGACUACCACUAAACCUUGGGGGACCACUAUCAUUUUAACCUUGUAAUUUUUCAUUCCAGUGUUAAUACCUUGAUAGCAAAAGCGCCUGAAUAUUAUUAGUAGUACGACUUCCAGUCUAAUUUUAUAUAUAUAUAGAACUAGACUGAAAUACUAUCAAUAGCACCAAGUUAUUAGUGCUAUUAGUUUUUUAACCCUUGGAUUGAGAAAUGUGCGGUUAUGAUAAUGUGGGCCCCCUAGGGUUGAGUGGGUGGUUGGUUGAAUAGUAUAAUCUAACGGGUAAAAAUAAUCAAAAGGGUUAAUCUAACGGCAGAAAACUUGAUAGCACCAAGUGCUUGGUACUAUCGAUAGCAUAGCAGCUGGACUAAUAUAUA
rnacentral:lncRNA from 1 species